GAUGAACGCUGGCGGCGUGCCUAAUACAUGCAAGUCGAGCGAACGGACGAGAAGCUUGCUUCUCUGAUGUUAGCGGCGGACGGGUGAGUAACACGUGGAUAACCUACCUAUAAGACUGGGAUAACUUCGGGAAACCGGAGCUAAUACCGGAUAAUAUUUUGAAACGCAUGGUUCAAAAGUGAAAGACGGUCUUGCUGUCACUUAUAGAUGGAUACGCGCUGCAUUAGCUAGUUGGUAAGGUAACGGCUUACCAAGGCAACGAUGAAUAGCCGACCUGAGAGGGUGAUCGGCCACACUGGAACGGAGACACGGUCCAGACUCCUACGGGAGGCAGCAGUAGGGAAUCUUCCGCGAUGGGCGAAAGCCUGACGGAGCAACGCCGCGUGAGUGAUGAAGGUCUUCGGAUCGUAAAACUCUGUUAUUAGGGAAGAACAUAUGUGUAAGUAACUGUGCACAUCUUGACGGUACCUAAUCAGAAAGCCACGGCUAACUACGUG
rnacentral:rRNA from 1 species